rnacentral:rRNA from 1 species
AUUGAACGCUGGCGGCAGGCUUAACACAUGCAAGUCGAGCGGGGGCUUCGGCCCUAGCGGCGAACGGGUGAGGAAUGCCUGGGAAUCUGCCUGGUAGUGGGGGAUAACGAUCCGAAAGGAUCGCUAAUACCGCAUACGUCCUACGGGAGAAAGCAGGGGACCUUCGGGCCUUGCGCUAUCAGAUGAGCCCAGGUCGGAUUAGCUAGUAGGUGAGGUAAAGGCUCACCUAGGCGACGAUCCGUAGCUGGUCUGAGAGGAUGAUCAGCCACACUGGAACUGAGACACGGUCCAGACUCCUACGGGAGGCAGCAGUGGGGAAUAUUGGACAAUGGGCGAAAGCCUGAUCCAGCCAUGCCGCGUGUGUGAAGAAGGCCUUCGGGUUGUAAAGCACUUUAAGCGGGGAGGAAGUACUUGGGGCUAAUACCCCUGAGUGUUGACGUUACCCGCAGAAUAAGCACCGGCUAACUCUGUGCCAGCAGCCGCCGUAAUAC